AACGAACGCUGGCGGCGUGCCUAACACAUGCAAGUCGAGCGCGAAAAGGGCAACCUGAGUAGAGCGGCGCACGGGUGCGUAACACGUGGGUAAUCUGCCUUAGAGUCGAGGAUAACCUUCCGAAAGGUUGGCUAAUACUCGGUAAGCUUACGGUGUCUUCGGACGCUGUGGGAAAAGUGGGCCUCUGUUUACAAGCUUACGCUCUGAGAUGAGCCCGCGGCCCAUCAGCUAGUUGGCGGUGUAACGGACCACCAAGGCAACGACGGGUAGCUGGUCUGAAAGGACGAUCAGCCACACUGGAACUGAGACACGGUCCAGACUCCUACGGGAGGCAGCAGUGGGGAAUUUUCCACAAUGGGCGAAAGCCUGAUGGAGCAACGCCGCGUGUGUGAUGAAGGUUUUCGGAUCGUAAAGCACUUUCGACCGGGACGAAAAACCUCUGGCUAACAUCCAGGGGCCUGACGGUACCGGGAGAAGAAGCACCGGCUAACUCUGUGCCAGCCGCCGCCGUAA
rnacentral:rRNA from 1 species